AGCGAACGCUAGCGGCGGGCCUAACACAUGCAAGUCGAGCGGAGGGGCAACCCUCAGCGGCGAACGGGUGAGUAACACGUAGGUAAUGUACCCUCUGGUGGGGAAUAACCCGUGGGAAACCCAUGGCUAAUACCGCAUAUGUCUUUCGAGAUGAAAGCAGCAAUGCGCCAGAGGAGCAGCCUGCGGCCGAUUAUUUAGUCCUAGUUGGUGAGGUAAUGGGCUCACCAAGGGUACGAUCGGUAGGCUGGUCUGAGAGGAUGAUCAGCCACACUGGAACUGAGACACGGUCCAGACUCCUACGGGAGGCAGCAGUGGGGAAUAUUGCGCAAUGGGCGAAAGCCUGACGCAGCCACGCCGCGUGAGUGAUGAAGGCCUCGGUUGUAAG
rnacentral:rRNA from 1 species